rnacentral:rRNA from 1 species
UACGGGGGGGGCAAGCGUUGUUCGGAAUUACUGGGCGUAAAGGGUUCGUAGGUGGCCAACUAAGUCGGAUGUGAAAUCCCCAGGCUUAACCUGGGAACUGCAUCCGAUACUGGAUGGCUUGAAUUCGGGAGAGGGAUGCAGAAUUCCAGGUGUAGCGGUGAAAUGCGUAGAUAUCUGGAGGAAUACCGGUGGCGAAGGCGGCAUCCUGGACCGAGAUUGACGCUGAGGCGCGAAAGCUAGGGGAGCAAACGGG